rnacentral:rRNA from 1 species
AAUCAACGCUGGCGGCGCGCCUAACACAUGCAAGUCGCACGAGAAAGCCGGGGCAACCUGGUGAGUACAGUGGCGCACGGGUGAGUAACACGUGGGUUACCUACCCUCUGGUGGGGACUAACCCUGGGAAACCGGGGCUAAUACCGCAUAAUCCCGGAAGGGAAAAGACGAAAGGCGCCGGCGGAGGGGCCCGCGGCCGAUUAGCUAGUUGGUGGGGUAACGGCCCACCAAGGCAGUGAUCGGUAGCCGGCCUGAGAGGGCACACGGCCACACUGGCACUGAAACACGGGCCAGACUCCUACGGGAGGCAGCAGUGGGGAAUAUUGCGCAAUGGGCGGAAGCCUGACGCAGCGACGCCGCGUGGGGGAUGACGGCCUUCGGGUUGUAAACCUCUUUCAGCAGGGACGAAGCGCAAGUGACGGUACCUGCAGAAGAAGCACCGGCCAACUACGUGCCAGCAGCCGCAGUAACAC